CCGCCAGAGAACUACAAGUGAAAAACUUGAAACUCAAAGGACUUGACGGUGUUCCAUAUCGACCUAGAGGAGCCUGUCCUAUAAUCGAUACUCCCCGCUCCACCCAACCACAACUAGCAUAUCAUCAGCCUAUAUACCGCCGUCGACAGCCUACCCUAUGAAGGUUUAGUAGUAGACACAAUAGUCUUAUCACUAAUACGUCAGGUCAAGGUGUAGCAAAUGUUGUGGAAGAGAUUGGCUACAUUUUUUAUUAUAAAAAAUACGAAAAAUACUAUGAAACAGUAUAUGAAGGUGAAUUUAGUAGUAAAAUAGACAAGAGUGUCCAUUUUAAC
rnacentral:rRNA from 1 species